UUCAGGUGACUCACAAACAGUAUCCCAACAGGAUGGUAGGAGCUUCAGAGGAGACUCCAAUACUGAAGACAGAACUGCACUGCCAACUGCCACAUCUGACCUAGAGGUAUUCCAGAAUGGUGGAAGAGAAGAACAGAUAGGAAGCACUUGUUGACGGAUACACCGUAGGUGAAAUCUCUUCCAUUUCAGAAGGACACCAUCUGCUAGGAACUACAUGACAACAACUCCUUCAGAGCUUUGAUCCCAGUGGUAUAGAAAGCAGUGUGGGAGAUACUGGAGUUUUGCACAGAUCAUAGAUACCUGCCAAUUAGGGAUCCAACCCUCCUGAGUAUUCUGCAAAUCCCACGACCCCAACAGCAUGACUUGAAAAAAAAUAACUAUUGGAUGUUACCUCUUUGAGGACCCCUUUAACGCUAACCCAGAUGUUUCCUUCAGUGAAUCAGGAGACAUCAAUUUUCAUUGCCAUCUUGAAAAUAAGUCUAAAUUUUUUUAUUUGUACUAGUAUUUGAAAAAAUGUU